AAUAAUUGAAUUGAUAUAAGAAUUUAUCAUUAAUAAAAAGAACUAAACAAAGAUAUAUAUCCAAGUUGUAUGUCAUCAACUUUAAUCUUCUAAUUCAAAAAAGAAAACUUGCAACAUAUAUACAUAAGAUAGUCUUUAAACUACCCCUAAUAAAAUCCUCACAAACUUCAACUUGCUCCUUACUUUCUUGAAUGAUAAAAAUUUCAUAUUCAAAUUCUUGAGCUGCAAACGAAGAAGUGUGUAUCAGUUUGAUAACAAAAAAUAAAGAAUUUAAGUAGAAACACAUAUAGGAUCUCAAAAUAUUUAGCAGAAAGGAUGCAACAAAAAAUUAAAACUUCCAAAAAAGCAGGAUAACAAUAACUAAUGUAUGUUUUAGGGAGAAAUCAGCCACUACGGACUAUAGCUAUAAUUUUUAACACUAAUACGGCAAUCGACCUUCUUCAAUACAAAUGUCUGCUAAAAUUAUUAGUUUUUCACCCAAAAAAAUAAUAAUAUGCUGCACAUAAUUACUAAUAGCAAGGAAAUAGUUUCAUAGUAUAAAACAUGUGUACCAAAUUACGGAUGGGCAUCACAAAGAGAUUAAUAUAAAUGCAAAACUUCAUUACUUGUCAAAGAAAGAUUGAUAUAAAUGCACAUUUUCUUCCAUGUAUAUCUCUAAUUUAAAUUGGAUGAUUUUAAUGAACUAUAACAUAAUGUCAAUUUCAUUGAACAACAAAAUGGAAUGAACUAAGCUUUCAAGAUAGAACAAACAACAUUUUAACACAAAUAUGGCCAAAAAAGAUUUGGCAGAUAAACAAUGAAGAGAAGAUGGAAAAUAUUUUGUCUCAUCACACAAGGACUACUAAAACAUCUCUCAAAACACAUCAAAAUUUAAGAGUUCUUUCUCUGUUUUGAAUUUAGUAGGUGAUUACUUUAUUCAAUGCUUCUUCCUCACGAAACUUAGUGAAUGAAAAAAAAUGAAAACUAUUGCCAAGUUUACUAUUAAAUAAAUGAGGAACACAUAAGUGUCUACCAUUCUACUCUAAUAUGUUUUACGUAUACAAUCAGUAUUAGUUGCUUUUCCUCAAAAAGAAAUGAUUGAUGCUCCAAAAUUUAGGAAAUAUAUAUCCUCUUCAUGCCAUCAAAGUUUAUUGGUUCCCUUGUUCUAUCUUUAAAUCAAUUUUCCAGAACAUGAUGCCUAUUCUUACUUCUUUAUUUCUUUAAAUUGGCUAAUGUAUCUAGGAACUGAAUAAUUUGUGGAUUUUUAUUGGUUACUGAGAAUUUUUCUGCCACUAGGAGUAGUUUUGAUCAUGAAUCUAGUGCUACAGAUAAGUGUUCUCUUGCACCGUAUAUUUAUAUUUGUACGAAGAGACAGAUGAGUGUGGAAGGUUUUGCACAUCACUACAACUUUUAUGCUAUACUUCCUGCAUUAAAUUAUCUUUAAGCUCAUUUCAGUUCACUUUCCUCUUGUUUUCUUUCAUGUUUAUAAUUGGAAAAACUAAGUCUUACUAGAGUCAAUAUAUUCCCUAUUGUUUCCAUUAAAUAAACCUAACAAAAUUAGGUAAUGUUGAGGUUGGUAUCAGAUACAAAGUAGUUCUUGACUUCUUGUUUCCUGUUAUGUACUUGUGUGAAAUCAUAAGACAGUUAGCAGACAACAUGCAAGCAAAAUCAAAGUUCAAGAUAACAUCAUGUUGAAAAAGUAAGAAGCAAAACUAAGGUUUAACUUGACAGUAUCCCCACAUAUAUUAUGUCAAUGCUCCCAAUACCAUCCAAGGUACAUAAUCAAAUUGACAAAAUCAGAAGAUCUUUUUUGUGGAAGGGGCGCUAUGAGGGCCAUAAGUUCCAUCUUGUGAAGUGGGAAAAUGUAAUUAUGCAAAAGCAGCACAGAGGUCUAGGAAUCAGAGAUUUAAAGAAGCACAACAAGAGCCUGUUAAUGAAAUAGUGGUGAAGAUAUGCUCAAGAACCAACAUGUAUCUGGAAAGAGGUAGUGAAUGCCAAAUAUGGGAGGCAAGACAAAUGGAGUACCAAGCAGAACAAUGAUCCUUAUGGAGUUGGACCUUGGAAGUACAUUAACCACCUAAGGGAGGAGUUCUUCCAAGAGGUGUCCUUCGGGAUUGGAAAUGGGAACUCGGUUAAAUUUUGGAAAGACAGGUGGCUUAACAAUCAACCUCUCAAUGUCUCCCACCCAGCUAUUUACAGGAUAGCCUCUGACAUAGACUCUUCAGUGGCUCAAAACAGAGAAGGUGGAAUAUGGGCACCACGCUUUAGAAGGAAUUUUCAAGACUGGGAGCUUAAUGAGCUCUUUGAUUCUUUCAAAAUUCUAGAAGGAGCCUCAAUGACCCCUCACUUGCCUGAUAGCUUAAAAUGGGGCAACUCUGAAUAAAGGAAUAUACACAGUGAAGGAAGGAUACCAUAAGUUGUGCUCUUCCAAUGCCAUGAUAGACCAGUGGCCAUGGAAACUGAUUUGGAAGACUAGACUACCCCCUAAAAUCAAGUGUUUCACCUGGACUACCCUCAAGAAUGCUAUCCUAACCCUGGACAAUCUAAAUAGGAGGAAACUUCAGCUAGUAGACAGACAAAUGUUUCUUGUGCCUCAAUAUCCUGGAAUCAGUGAAUCAUUUGUUUCUGCACUUUCCAGUGGCAGCAGCUCUUUGGAAUUUGUUUAUUUCAAUUGCUGGUAUCAACUGGAUUCUCCCGCAAAGUGCCAAAGAAGUAGUUGGAAGUUGAAGUCUUAGAGAAGUUGAUAGCCCCAUCAAGAAGACCUGGCAGAUGAUUCCAUCAUGUAUUUUUUGGGGUAUUUGGAAGGAAAGGAAUCUCAGAUGUUUUGAUGGUAGCUCAACUCUAAUUAGCAGUUUGAAAUCCUUUUGCCUUAUUAAUCUCUUCCAUUGGAGCAACUUAUCCCCUGUAAAUGAUAUAUUACCCCUCUUAGAUUUCAUUAGCUCCCUCAAUAUGGCAUAGCGACCAUAUUUUGCUUAUGGUUAACUCCCUGAUUAAAUAGGUGUUUUUUUUCUCAGGAGUUAACCAUAUUUUUGUGUAUGUAAUUUGCAUCUUCUUGAUGCCUUUCUAAUACAACAUCUUACUUCAUAAAAAAAAACUGAGGUUUAACUUGCUAAACAGAACCUUUAGGGUCGAAAUAACUCCUUUAGACCUAAGUUCAACUCUAAUAGACAUCUUUUAACUUCAUAUGAUCCAUCUAUCUUUCCCUUUACUCGUUAGGAGUUUGAAGGUAGUGGAUUUGUUAGGGAUUAUCAAGGGUUGAUGAAGGAAAAAAUAUUACGUUGUAAGAAUUUUAUAAUCUUUUAUUAGUUAUUUGUUUCAUAUCAGGCUCUCCUUUUAUGAAGGUUGAAGUAAGCCAGUAUUUAGCCACUGGUUUAAAGAAUCAUGCUACAGUAGUCAUUUAUUCCUUCAUUCAGAAACUAGUGGCCCUUAAGUAAAGAAGUUAAACAAUUCAAAGACUCUUGCUGAACUAGGAUAUGAGCCUAAAUAUCCAAGCUUCCCUCAGUUCCUGGGUGUUGCAGAUUAAAUUGUGGCAGAAACUCUAUUCUUUAAAUGAUUGAAUGAAUGCAUGUGAGCUAUUUUGGCAGAAGUAGCAAUAAAAAAUAGCAUGGAGGGAAAACACAAUACUGAAGAAGAAAGAGAGACACGGAACAAUUACUCUCUGCUUAAGAAGAAUCAAACACUGUCCUCUGCUUCAGUUGUCUUAGUGGGAGCUAAGGUCUCCCACAUUGAAAGUUAGGCUUAUGAGUCGGAACAAUAAAAAAUACUAAACCUUUUCGAACUAAUGAAAAGAAUUUCAUAUAGCAUUGCACAAUAAUUUCAUCAUAGACCAAAGAAAAUUCUCUACUAACCUGUUAACUAGUUCAAUAUAUUGAUCAGUGAAAGAUGGUGUUGAUGAAGGCUGAAAAAACACUACACUUGCAAGCUGUUCAUAUUUGUUCUCGAGCUCAUUUACGCGUUGACAUUUACUCUCUAUUAUUCUCUAACUCAUCCAUGCAAUUCACUUACAUUCAACUUAUCUAGAAAUGCAGCCUUUGAAGAGUUACCACCAUUUCAAUUUUCAACUCCUUCGAUGUCAUCCCACCACAAAUCCAACCACAUUAUUUUUACGUUGAGGUCCAAAGCACAUCUCAACGACCUCAAUAUUUGUAAGAGAUGAAUUAAGAUUGUAUCACUUUUUGGAUCUCAACCUAUAAAACACAGGACAAAUUAAAAUAAUAAAGCACAUAAUGUUAAAUGGUGUAACAUGAAAUUUAUGAGUAAACAUUCAUAUUUUGCAUUUGUUUCAGGUUCGACAAGCUUGUUAUCCUUCUUACGUGUCUCAAAGAAGAUAGUAUCCAUGUUUGGUGGCUUACCAUCUUUUCCUUCCUUCAUAUAUAAAUAAACAAGUAAAAGAAAUCAAAUUAUCAAGGAGGAGGCUUUCUAAAAAGUUUCUAGAUUUACUUAUUAAUUCAUAAAUAAUCUCUCUAAUAGGCUUACUACUAGUGCGAUGAGGCAUACACAACUUAAGACUUAUUGACUGAGUUUCUUGUACUUAUUUCCUAUAUUAACAAAACACUACUGAAAUUUUAGUCAUCCAAUUAAGAUAUCAUGCUGAUAGAUCAUAGCUAUGAAUUAAUACCUUAGACUACUCACUUAAGAAAUGCUCUCUAACAAGUCAUUCCCAAUCACCCUUGUCUACCUCUUUUGGCACAUCUUUUACAGCAUAACAGAAUAUCUUAGACUUCACAUUCUUGUGCAGUGAUCCUCUCCCAUUAUUUAACAACCUUCGCACAUGUUGCAAGACAUGUUUUUUGUGAUCAUUCAUGUUGUCACUGACAAAUUUAUCCUACAAUAUUACACAAGUAUCAUUUUCAUAUUGUCAAGAAAGAUGCAAUACUAGGUUCAAGAGGGUUUUAUAAGCAUUAACAAUGUAAAAGCAUGACCCAUAUUUUAAGGAUGAAAUAACAUAUACAAGGAGGAAAUAACAUAAACAUAUUUCUUAUGAGCAUAGAAGGUGGUGUUAAGUCCUAGUACCAGCAUCGGUGCACCAUAAGGGCCGAUACCAGCAAGUAUCAGUAAGUUGCCUAUUUAAGUUCUAUUAGAGCAAAUCCAGUAAACAAGGCCCUGCUCCAAAGUUUCAUGGGUUUUAGCUACAAUGAUCCCUAAGUACCUCGUAUUCACUUGAUCUUAGUUGUUUCUUAGUUUAUUCAGUAUGUUAGAUAACUGUUUGACUUUGUAGUUGGUGCUUGUAAAGAUACUAGUUUGGUGAUUUGAAUAUAAAAAAUGCUAGUUAUCAGAAUAAAGUAACAUCAAUACUAACUAAGAGAGACUGGUAUAUAUACUAAUUAGGCCUAUUAUUUAUCUACCAAUGGAUCAUAUAAUGUGAGUUGCAGCCACAAUCAAUUGAUGCGUAGGCAGCUGCGACUAAAUGUAGCAGACUUGGUAUGAUACUUACUCAUGUUACCUAGACACAAAUUUAUUGUCUGGCUAGCAGCUGGCUAAUCAAGAGAAAUUUCUAACAAAAGAAAGGAAGAUUAGACUACAAAUACAAUUAGAAGAUGACAAGUGUGUCUAUAUAGAGAUAAUAAGAUGGAAACUCGAUUGGAUCUACUAUCAAAAUGUACUCACUACUCAGCUUACUGGAGAGUGUAGGAGUUGUCCAGAUCAACGAUUGAUCUCCUGGCAGACUCAUUUGGGGGUACAAAGUAGUUGGUAAUAUUCUUUGAAGGCAACAUACGAUUCACUAUGUACUGAAAAUCAAAUGAUAGUUAUAAAAAAACAACACUGAAGACAGAACUAGCGAAUUGGAGUACAAAAGAUGAAGGUAACACAAAGGUUAAUAUGGAUAAAGGGAAGGCGCUCGAAAAAUAUGAAAAGGAAUUAGUUACAGCUAUAUGGGGAGAUAGAAUCUACCACACUUGGAGAGAAACAAACUGAACAAUAUACAGAGAGACAACUAAAAAUACAGAGAUUACAUUUGUACAAAUAAUAAAGAGAUAGCUGAAAGAGUGGAUUACUUGAAACACAGUAGGAAAGUUAAUAGAUGUAGAUACCUGGUCCAAGAAUUUUGUAACUAGGUGAUACAAUUUUACUCUAUGUGCAGAACACAAUAGUCCAUAUCAGCAUCUUCCAGCUUAAAAAAUUAAAGAAAGUAAUGUUGUAAAUCCUUGCCGUGACGACAUUCCACAUGUAUUCUAGCUUAUUGAUUUUUUACUAUGUUCCCGCAAUGGACACAUAUGUUUUCCUACUAAUGAGAAUUGUAGGAUUCAGUUAGUUAUAGGAAAUUUUUGGUCCUUUCUCAGCUAAAAUACAGUGGAACUUCAAUACAAAUAAAUCUUUGCUUAGAGACACUCAAAUAGCUCGCCCUUGUUCAAGGAAGAAUGGCCCUGAUCAGUUUCACACUUGGAGAAGAAUGCUACCGAUCAAGGAAAGUUGUGCUAAGUAUAUUCUAUGGAAAGUUGGGCCUGAGAAGAUUUUAACUUUUUUAGAUAACUGGACUAGUAAAGUGCAGUUGGCUAGCACCAUCAAUAGUCUCCCCUAGAGGAAGAACCCAAGAGUGACUAAUUUUAUUCAUAAUGGCUACUGGAAAGUGAACGGUUUAAAGUAGUUUUCCCUUAUUAAGUAGUUCAGAUAAUCAUGAGCAUCAAAAUUUAUGAUGAACAAGAAGAUCUAUGAAUUUGGUCCAUCCACUAUAGUGGAAAAUUCACUUGUCACAAUACUUCGGAGUCUAUGAGAUAGAGAAACAACCAAUGCAUUACUUCAAAGAUGAUCUGGCAUCGUAAAAUGAAAAAUAACUUUCAAGAUAUCAUUUUCGAUUAUGAGACUAUUGAGAAUUAGAUUGCCAGUUGACAGUUCCCUCUAAAAAUUCAAAGUUCUUGGCCACUCUAGGUGUUGUUGGUGCAAACAGUAUUUUGAUAAAAGUAUGGAACACAAGUUUUAUAACAGUGACUUGGUUAAAGACUUACGAACCUUUUGCAACUAUAUCAGAAACAUAAUUAAGGAUAUCACUAAACUACACUAGUGCACAAAGCAGAAUAACAUUCAGUUAAAAUAAAAGGAAAAACAAACAUAAAUGGAUCAUAAAAAAUUAGGGAAAACAGUGAAUUUGAAAGAAGUAGACAUUCCACAAAGCAAUUGAGAAUGAAAAUAACACAAACUUACCUUGAAGAGAAGAAACCACAAGUGUUGAGCAGACCAAUAAGCCGAUAAGCAGUAACAAGAGAAGAUUGGUUCUCUUUUAAGAAAAUUAGAAUGUUUUCUGCAAUUAAAAUAGAGACACCUGGUUGCCUCCUUAAAUAGAAGGAACUGAGAGACCUUCGACCUAAUUUUUCUUAAUAAACAUGGAAAUUGAUGUACCUUGUUCAUUUUGAUCUUAUAUGUUUGUUGAUUGUCCUCUGGCUGAUUUCCCUCCAACAAACUGACACUCCUAAUUUGAAACUAAGGGCUACAGCUAGAUAAAUUUAGGGUUAACACAGAUUUGGGCAAAACGAAAAAAUACCCAAAUCUCCAACAGAAUUUGAGAGAAGCAUGUAUUGCAGAUUUUUCUCAAAUUUCUUGACCUGUACUGGAGAAAAGUUGUGCUUCAGUUAUGUUCUUGAGCUGCUCCCUGGAUUCUCUAAUAGAACGAUAGAAGAUCAAAAACUUCAUUAGUGAAACUAUUUUCUUAGGGAGGGGAGGAGUGGGGUAUGUGGACUAUGUUGUUACGGAGAGGAGGGGUGGUGUAUGUCGUGUGCGGUUAAG
rnacentral:lncRNA from 1 species